GUUUGAUCAUGGCUCAGGAUGAACGCUGGCGGCGUGCCUAAUACAUGCAAGUCGAACGAGGUGCUUUUGUAGCAAUACGAGAGUAUCCUGGUGGCGAACGGGUGAGUAACGCGUUGGCGACCUGCCCCAAGGUGCGGGAUAACAGUCCGAAAGGAUUGCUAAUACCGCAUGUGGUCAUCGGAUUUAGAAACCGAUGUCUAAAGGAGUAAUCCGCUUUGGGAGGGACCUGCGUCCCAUCAGCUAGUUGGUGAGGUAACGGCCCACCAAGGCUACGACGGGUAGGGGACCUGAGAGGGUGGCCCCCCACAAUGGAACUGAAACACGGUCCAUACACCUACGGGUGGCAGCAGUAGGGAAUAUUGGGCAAUGGGCGAAAGCCUGACCCAGCAACGCCGCGUGUGUGAUGAAGGCCUUCGGGUCGUAAAGCACUUUUCUGGGAGAUGAGAAAGGACAGUAUCCCAGGAAUAAGUCUCGGCUAACUACGUGCCAGCAGCCGCGGUAAAACGUAGGAGGCGAGCGUUAUCCGGAUUCACUGGGCGUAAAGCGCGUGCAGGUGGCGCGGUAAGUUGGGCGUGAAAUCUCCCGGCUCAACUGGGAGAGGUCGUUCAAUACUACCGUGCUUGAGAGCAGAAGAGGAAGAUGGAAUUCCCGGUGUAGUGGUGAAAUGCGUAGAUAUCGGGAGGAACACCAGUGGCGAAGGCGAUCUUCUGGUCUGUUUCUGACACUCAGACGCGACAGCUAGGGUAGUAAACGGGAUUAGAGACCCCGGUAAUCCUAGCCGUAAACGAUGUGAACUUGGCGUUGGUGGGUUAAACUCCAUCAGUGCCGUAGCAAACGCGAUAAGUUCACCGCCUGGGGACUACGGCCGCAAGGUUAAAAC
rnacentral:rRNA from 1 species